GGACCCUUAGCUUAGUGGAUAAAGCGCCCGGCUCAUAAUCGGGAAAUCAUUGGUUCGAGUCCAAUAGGGUCCACCA
rnacentral:tRNA from 1 species